CGAGCUCCGCCUCGCGACAGUUAACGACGCUCGUUUUACGGCACAGUGCGGUCUGAUGGACAAAGUUAGCUAGCUGUCAGUGAGCAAUGGACUUCACAAUAUUACCAACUUGGAUUAACUUUUAUUAAAAAACAAUGUUUUCUUUUGACCGGCAGACCCUCACGGACUAAAGGAAUAUCAUUAAUCAAGGAAAGGACACAUAUUGGGACUUUAUGGCCGAUGCAAAGAGUUGGGUCGGUCUGCGUGUGCCUUUUUGUGCAUGUUAGUGCAUGUGAGCAUGCCCCCCUGGUUCUCUCACGGCCACCAUCUGAACUGCUCUCAUACAGAGGUUACAGCUGAUAAUGCCGUCCCGACCGAUGGCACCGUCGUGGAGACGUAGACUCACCCUCCGUUCCCCCUCAGGCAGUUUGCCAUCCAUCCUGCACAGAGUGACUGAUGCUGAAUAAGAGCUGUCAACGCUCCUCACCCGGAUAUCCCAUUUCCCAGUCCUCCCUGAGGACUCGCGUCACGCCUGCGGCUAACAUCUAUUGGUAAUAUUAUCUACCUGGACUUAAACCUUCGUGACCUCUCACCCCUGGGGACUUCGACACACUGUAUAACCAAUCAAGAGCCCCAUUGGUCGCGGGGUGGCCACAGAUGCUCAUGACAGUUCUAGCCUACGAGCCGGAGCCGAAUAUGAGCCUAUACAUAAUUCAACGAGUCAAGUCAUAUGGCCUUGAGCGAUGCUGCUGAGAAAGUUAAGUGUAGGAAGCAGUCAACCAGGAGGAGGUCUGUGUGCAGCUGCCAGCGCAACAGUUUACACGUCAUAAGAUUUGAUCGGGGAGCUAAUUGAAGUUGAUGUGAGCUGAGGAAAAGUGCAUCAGGGUGUGCGCUUAAAAGCAGCAGGAUCGCUCUGAAGUGCUUUUUAAAAAUGGCUGCUCUAAGGGUUCUCUGGUGGCGUCUCCAGGUGUGUGUCUGUGUAAGCAGAGAGCUAGAUUUGGCUGUCACGCAAAUCAGAGCCUGACUUUUUUUUGGUAUUAUGUUGCAUUUUGUUUGUCUGCAUAUCACAUGAAUAAAAAAGUGCAUUGUCAACAAAACGUGAACCAUAAGAAAGGAGAUGGAAAAAAAAAACAGGAGAAAAAAAAGAUGUGGAAAUGAGGGGUUGGAUGUGCGCAUAAGGAGUGGGCAGGGAGCUCCGGCGAGGGCGCCAUGUUUUUUUGUACAUCUCCCAAACCAGUGGGCAGAAGGAGCGGGGUGAGAAGGGGAAGAAAUUAUUAAAAUGUGCCACGGCCACAAAGUGCUCUUGGAGUAAUUAAGUCGACAGCAGUUUGGCUCCAGCGGUUCCAUUUUGAGUGUGUAAUGUGUUUCAAUAAUGACAGUGCGCGGCAGCAAACUGGCUUGUCGUCAUGCUCUCUCUCCCAGCUAAUCCCGUUACUGCUGACCACUCUGACGGGGUGUGAGUCCAGCCCUGCUGCCUGCCUGCCUGCCUGCCUGCCUGCCUGCCUGCCACUUUUCUGGGGGGAAGGAGGGAUGAGGGAGGAGAUGGACAGAGAGAGAGAGAAAGAAACAGAGAGAGCAGCCUGUUUGUUUUCCUGUGUGCUUUCCCACGUGUGUGUGUGUGCACACUUGCAUAAAUGCAGUGUUGAUUGUCAUGCUGUGUGCGUGUGUGAGGUUUCAAGUGCUUGCCUGUGUGGUUAUGUGCCAGCGUGGACGUCGGUGCAUAUCUACCGUAAAUGUUUAUUCAGUUCACAGUGAAUACACUCCAGCCCCUUGCUGCUUACAGAGGGGGUUUUUCAGCGCCAUCUCGGGCCCUGAGCCCGUCCACUCUGCUGCGGCCACAAUGGCUAAUCCUGACACAGGCAGCAGCGGCGAGCAAUCAGCACUCACAGCCCAGAACAUAAUGGAAGCCGGCCUCCCUGCCUGUCUGCCUGGAUGUGUGUGUGUGUGUGUGGAUGACUGGCAGGCCGGCUGCUCAUCUGGAUGCUUGCCUUUUGUGUCUCUGUGGCUGUUUUUGAUUGCUGGGUAGUGUGUUGGGCCGCCGGUUAUGUAAAGUGUAUCUGACUAUGGAGGAGAAGUAAAGCACACAGAAAACGGUAGUGAGCUGCUGAUCAUAGAAACGAGGAGAAAAAAAAAGGAAAGAUGAGAAAGCUUGGACCGCUCUUGAGGCGCCUGAAACCUCAUCUAAUGAACACUUGUUUAAUACAGAUGGAUCCUUUAGUGUGCAGCAUUUUUUCUUUUUACUUUUCCAUGUGUUUGCCUGGCUGAUUACUCUGAGGGAGGUUUUACAGGCCAUAUGGCGACAUGGUCCCGCUCUACUGGGUUGCACUAUUGUAUUGUAGUGCUAUGGUUACUGUUUUGUGGCGGUAUGUGGCAGUGUGUUUUUGCUGUGUGUGUGCUGUGA